rnacentral:rRNA from 1 species
CGGCGCACGGGUGAGUAACACGAUAUCCAACCUGCCGAUAACUCGGGGAUAGCCUUUCGAANGAAAGAUUAAUACCCGAUGGUAUAAUCAGACCGCAUGGUCUUGUUAUUAAAGAAUUUCGGUUAUCGAUGGGGAUGCGUUCCAUUAGGCAGUUGGUGAGGUAACGGCUCACCAAACCUUCGAUGGAUAGGGGUUCUGAGAGGAAGGUCCCCCACAUUGGAACUGAGACACGGUCCAAACUCCUACGGGAGGCAGCAGUGAGGAAUAUUGGUCAAUGGGCGCAGGCCUGAACCAGCCAAGUAGCGUGAAGGAUGACUGCCCUAUGGGUUGUAAACUUCUUUUAUAUGGGAAUAAAGUUUUCCACGUGUGGAAUUUUGUAUGUACCAUAUGAAUAAGGAUCGGCUAACUCCGUGCCAGCAGCCGCGGUAAUACGGAGGAUCCGAGCGUUAUCCGGAUUUAUUGGGUUUAAAGGGGAGCGUAGGUGGACAGUUAAGUCAGUUGUGAAAGUUUGCGGCUCAACCGUAAAAUUGCAGUUGAUACUGGCUGUCUUGAGUACAGUAGAGGUGGGCGGAAUUCGUGGUGUAGCGGUGAAAAUGCUUAGAUAUCACGAAGAACUCCGAUUGCGAAGGCAGCUCACUGGACUGCAACUGACACUGAUGCUCGAAAGUGUGGGUAUCAAACAGGAUUAGAUACCCUGGUAGUCCACACAGUAAACGAUGAAUACUCGCUGUUUGCGAUAUACAGUAAGCGGCCAAGCGAAAGCAUUAAGUAUUCCACCUGGGGAGUACGCCGGCAACGGUGAAACUCAAAGGAAUUGACGGGGGCCCGCACAAGCGGAGGAACAUGUGGUUUAAUUCGAUGAUACGCGAGGAACCUUACCCGGGCUUAAAUUGCAUUUGAAUAUAUUGGAAACAGUAUAGCCGUAAGGCAAAUGUGAAGGUGCUGCAUGGUUGUCGUCAGCUCGUGCCGUGAGGUGUCGGCUUAAGUGCCAUAACGAGCGCAACCCUUAUCUUUAGUUACUAACAGGUCAUGCUGAGGACUCUAGAGAGACUGCCGUCGUAAGAUGUGAGGAAGGUGGGGAUGACGUCAAAUCAGCACGGCCCUUACGUCCGGGGCUACACACGUGUUACAAUGGGGGGUACAGAAGGCAGCUACCUGGUGACAGGAUGCUAAUCCCAAAAGCCUCUCUCAGUUCGGAUCGAAGUCUGCAACCCGACUUCGUGAAGCUGGAUUCGCUAGUAAUCGCGCAUCAGCCAUGGCGCGGUGAAUACGUUCCCGGGCCUUGUACACACCGCCCGUCAAGCCAUGAAAGCCGGGGGUACCUGAAGUACGUAACCGCAAGGAGCUCCUAGG